rnacentral:rRNA from 1 species
AUUGAACGCUGGCGGCAGGCUUAACACAUGCAAGUCGAGCGGGGUGAUGGUGCUUGCACUAUCACUUAGCGGCGGACGGGUGAGUAAUGCUUAGGAAUCUGCCUAUUAGUGGGGGACAACAUCUCGAAAGGGAUGCUAAUACCGCAUACGUCCUACGGGAGAAAGCAGGGGAUCACUUGUGACCUUGCGCUAAUAGAUGAGCCUAAGUCGGAUUAGCUAGUUGGUGGGGUAAAGGCCUACCAAGGCGACGAUCUGUAGCGGGUCUGAGAGGAUGAUCCGCCACACUGGGACUGAGACACGGCCCAGAAUCCUACGGGAGGCAGCAGUGGAGAAUAUUGGACAAUGGGGGGAACCCUGACCCAGCCAUGCCGCGUGUGUGAAGAAGGCCUUAUGGUUGUAAAGCACUUUAAGCGAGGAGGAGGCUCUUUUGGUUAAUACCCAAGAUGAGUGGACGUUACUCGCAGAAUAAGCACCGGCUAACUCUGUGCCAGCAGCCGCAGUAA